GACAGAGGUGCCAAGCGUUAGGCGGAAUCACUGGGCUUAAAGCGUGUGUAGGUGGUUAUCUAAGUGCUUUGUGAAAUCCCACGGCUCAACCGUGGAAUGGCUUGGCAUACUUGAUAUCUUGAGCCAUCUAGGGGCAACUGGAACAAACGGUGGAGCGGUGAAAUGCGUAGAUAUCGUUUGGAACGCCAAUGGUGAAAACAGGUUGCUGGGGAUGUGCUGACACUGAGACACGAAAGCCAGGGGAGCAAACGGG
rnacentral:rRNA from 1 species